rnacentral:rRNA from 1 species
AACGAACGCUGGCGGCAUGCCUUACACAUGCAAGUCGAACGGCAGCAUGGGUGCUUGCACCUGAUGGCGAGUGGCGAACGGGUGAGUAAUGCAUCGGAACGUACCCGGAAGUGGGGGAUAACGUAGCGAAAGUUACGCUAAUACCGCAUAUUCUGUGAGCAGGAAAGCGGGGGAUCGCAAGACCUCGCGCUUCCGGAGCGGCCGAUGUCGGAUUAGCUAGUUGGCGGGGUAAAGGCCCACCAAGGCAACGAUCCGUAGCGGGUCUGAGAGGAUGAUCCGCCACACUGGGACUGAGACACGGCCCAGACUCCUACGGGAGGCAGCAGUGGGGAAUUUUGGACAAUGGGGGCAACCCUGAUCCAGCCAUGCCGCGUGAGUGAAGAAGGCCUUCGGGUUGUAAAGCUCUUUCGGCUGGGAAGAAAUCGCAUCUCCUAAUACGGGGUGUGGAUGACGGUACCAGCAUAAGAAGCACCGGCUAACUACGUG